AAAAGUAUCAUAAUAAUAAAUAUAAAAAGAAUCUCGCCAUACACAGCAGCUGCGUCUAAUGACAUGUUUGAGAUGCCAUUUCAACUUGUGUAAGAUAUCAUGAUCUGAGCUCAUAUGGGCAAAGAGGUCACAACCAACUGCAAUGAAUACGUUGUCUGUCUGAGAGUAAAUGAAAGGACUGCCCCAUCAAAUUCUAGGGUUGGUGAGUUUCCUUUCCCUCUCGUAGCUGAAGAAAGUAAUAGGACCAAUAUUCACGCCAUCAUUAAAAAGAAAAAUACUUAGCAGCUCCAGGUUGACGCUGUUAAGGAAAGGCACUUGCCUGCUGUAAUUAGCUGAGGUUGUAGAGUUAUUGUGCCUCCAGUCUAUUUGAGAUUGAUAUGAAUCGGUAUUGGUCGAUAAAGGUCGAUAUCAGAGACUUUUUGGGAGAUUGAUGUAUUUGGCUCACACAAG
rnacentral:lncRNA from 1 species